GAAUCACUUGAACCUGGGAGGCAGAGGUUGCAGUGAGCCGAGAUCUCACCAUUGCACUCCAGCCUGGGCAACAGAGCGAGACUCCAUCUCAAACAACAACAACAACAACAAAUUAGCAAAGCUGAUUAUUUGAUCUUGGUCCACUGGAGGGCAGUGGCGUGAUUACAGCUCACUGCAUCCUCGACCUCCCAAGCUCAAGCCAUCCUCCCACCUCAGCCCCUCAAGUAGCUGGGACAACAGGCACCAGCAUGCCCAGCUAAUUUUUGUAUAUUUUGUAGAGAAGGGGUCUCACCAUGUUGCCCAGGCUAAUCUCGAACUACUGAGCUCAAGCAAUCUGACCACCUUGGCCUCCCAAAGUGCUAGGAUUAUAGGAGUGAGCCACCACGCCCAGCCUCCAUUAGCAUUUUAACCUACUUAAGUUUCUGCCAUCAGCACCACAAACAAAACCAGAAUAUUCUUUGACCUUUUAUCUCUCUCAGCUACUGCCCUGUUCUUCUCACCUAACCUUCUUGAAAGAAUUGUAUACACUCACUAUUCUUCACUUCCCACUCAUUCUUUGGUCCACUGCCAGCUGCCUUUGACCACUAACAUUCCUCUACAAGGCCACUAACAACACCCGAGUCUCAGAAAUCCAAUAAACACUUUUAAAAAAAUUGAGAUAUGAUUCAAAUUUCAUAAAAUCUCAUAAAAUCCUAUAAGACUCACCUUUUAAAGUGUAUAAUGUAUCUUUUAAAGUGUACAAUGCAGUGUUUUUUAGUAUAUUCAUAAAUUCAUUCAACUAUUACCAUUUAAUUUCAGAACAUUCUCAUCACUCCUGUAUCCAUUAGCAGUCACUACCAAUUCCCCCUCCCUACAGCCCUUGACAACUGCUAAUCUAUUUUCCACCUCUACAGAGUUUCCUAUUCUGGACAUUUAAUAUAAACUGAAUCAUACACCAUGUGACCUUUUGUGACUGGCUUCUUUCAUUAAAGAUAAUGUUUUGUGUAUUUAUUUAUUUUUAGCUAUACCUACUGGAAUGGGAUUUCUUUUUUAGUAUAAUGUUUUCAGGGAUCAUCCAUGUUGUAGUACGUAUCAGCACUUCAUUCCUUUUUAUUGUGCAAUAAUAUUCUGUUGUGCGGAUAUACCUCAGAGUGGUUAUGCUAUUUUGUUUAUCCAUUCAUUAGUUGACGGACAUUUGGGUUGUUUCCACUUUUUGACUAUAACGAAUAAAGUUGCUAUGAACAUUCAGGUACAAGUUUUUGUGUGGACAUAUGUUCUCAAUACUCUUAGGUGGAAUUGUGGAAUUACUAAGUCAUAUGAUAACUCUGUUUAACCCUUUUCGCCUUUGCCCCAAGAAUACCUGCCAGCGGUGCUUGCAGCUGCAGCAUUUACUCCAAGAUA
rnacentral:lncRNA from 1 species